rnacentral:rRNA from 1 species
AUUGAACGCUGGCGGCAUGCCUUACACAUGCAAGUCGAACGGCAGCACGGGUGCUUGCACCUGGUGGCGAGUGGCGAACGGGUGAGUAAUACAUCGGAACAUGUCCUGUAGUGGGGGAUAGCCCGGCGAAAGCCGGAUUAAUACCGCAUACGAUCCACGGAUGAAAGCGGGGGACCUUCGGGCCUCGCGCUAUAGGGUUGGCCGAUGGCUGAUUAGCUAGUUGGUGGGGUAAAGGCCUACCAAGGCGACGAUCAGUAGCUGGUCUGAGAGGACGACCAGCCACACUGGGACUGAGACACGGCCCAGACUCCUACGGGAGGCAGCAGUGGGGAAUUUUGGACAAUGGGCGAAAGCCUGAUCCAGCAAUGCCGCGUGCGUGAAGAAGGCCUUCGGGUUGUAAAGCACUUUUGUCCGGAAAGAAAUCCUUGGCUCUAAUACAGUCGGGGGAUGACGGUACCGGAAGAAUAAGCACCGGCUAACUACGUG